GUAUCUUUUGACAAACUUACGCAGCAAACAGUACAAUACAUGACCACAUAGUAUUUAUGUUACCAAGGAAAUAAAUAUAUAGCGUUUAAAAAAGAUCAACUAUGUCCAUAAGAAACAUGAACUACCUGCAAAUUCAAAGUUUAGGAAGCUGUACUUGUGCAGGGUGGCUGGGUAGUUCUUCUUGAAUGCUCUGAGCUUUUAUGAGUACAUACGUACAGCAUCCGGAGAGUCAAUAGCUGGGAGUUGGAUUAUUGCAACUAGGACCCGGAAGGUCAAUAGCUGGGAGUUGGAUUAUUGCAACUAGGUGAGUGGGGAAAGAAAUGUUCAUUUCGGAAUUGUUCACAGAAGUGCAUGAAACAGAUGCCUGAGAUGGAGUUGCAGUUGAACAUGAUGCCAAAAGGCAGUCGCGUGUGAGGGAAAAUUCUGGACCUCUGCUCCGAAAGAUAGAGAAUGGGUACUUUGCUCUUUGGAGUUUCCGCUCAAUGCUUCCCACAAUGCUACGCAAUGUGACAGGCUCGUUUUCAUCACCAUCACUCUUGUGAAUGGAGAGCAGAUAUGUGGCAAGAUAUUCAUCUAGAUGGUCGACUGAUAAAUUGUGGAUUGACUUCGUUUCGCCUUUCUUCGCAAGAUAUUUGUUGAAAUCGACUGACAUCUGCCAGUGUUUUCCGGAUAGUUUUUUG